rnacentral:rRNA from 1 species
GACGAACGCUGGCGGCGUGCUUAACACAUGCAAGUCGAACGGAAAGGCCCUGCUUGCAGGGUACUCGAGUGGCGAACGGGUGAGUAACACGUGGGUGAUCUGCCCUGCACUUCGGGAUAAGCCUGGGAAACUGGGUCUAAUACCGGAUAGGAGCCAUUUUUAGUGUGAUGGUUGGAAAGUUUUUUCGGUGUAGGAUGAGCUCGCGGCCUAUCAGCUUGUUGGUGGGGUAAUGGCCUACCAAGGCGGCGACGGGUAGCCGGCCUGAGAGGGUGGACGGCCACAUUGGGACUGAGAUACGGCCCAGACUCCUACGGGAGGCAUCAGUGGGGAAUAUUGCACAAUGGGCGCAAGCCUGAUGCAGCGACGCCGCGUGGGGGAUGACGGGCUUCGGGUUGUAAACUCCUUUCGCUAGGGACGAAGCUUUUUGUGACGGUACCUAGAGAAGAAGCACCGGCUAACUACGUG